rnacentral:lncRNA from 1 species
CAGAUAUGGAUUGACACCUGUCCUCAGAGCCCCUGAUACACACUGACACAGAGCAGAAUAGGGAAUGUUACCCCAACAUAGGGUCACUUGGCAGAUAUGGAUUGACACCCGUCCUCAGAGCCCCUGAUACACACUGACACAGAGCAGAAUAGGGAAUGUUACCCCAACAUAGGGUCACUUGGCAGAUAUGGAUUGACACCUGUCCUAAGGAUCCCUAAAAC